GAUGAACGCUGGCGGCGUGCCUAAUACAUGCAAGUCGAGCGAACAGACGAGGAGCUUGCUCUUCUGACGUUAGCGGCGGACGGGUGAGUAACACGUGGAUAACCUACCUAUAAGACUGGGAUAACUUCGGGAAACCGGAGCUAAUACCGGAUAAUAUAUUGAACCGCAUGGUUCAAUAGUGAAAGACGGUUUUGCUGUCACUUAUAGAUGGAUCCGCGCCGCAUUAGCUAGUUGGUAAGGUAACGGCUUACCAAGGCGACGAUGCGUAGCCGACCUGAGAGGGUGAUCGGCCACACUGGAACUGAGACACGGUCCAGACUCCUACGGGAGGCAGCAGUAGGGAAUCUUGCGCAAUGGGCGAAAGCCUGACGGAGCAACGCCGCGUGAGUGAUGAAGGUCUUCGGAUCGUAAAACUCUGUUAUUAGGGAAGAACAAAUGUGUAAGUAACUAUGCACGUCUUGACGGUACCUAAUCAGAAAGCCACGGCUAACUACGUG
rnacentral:rRNA from 1 species